UGACAAGGAGUCCAGAGAGAUUCCUGUAGC
rnacentral:piRNA from 1 species